rnacentral:rRNA from 1 species
AUUGAACGCUGGCGGCAUGCCUUACACAUGCAAGUCGAACGGUAACGCGGGGCAACCUGGCGACGAGUGGCGAACGGGUGAGUAAUAUAUCGGAACGUGCCCUAGAGUGGGGGAGUAACUAGUCGAAAGACUAGCUAUACCGCAUACGAUCUAAGGAUGAAAGUAGGGGGAGUCGCAAGACCUCAUGCUCGUGGAGCGGCCGAUAUCUGAUUAGCUAGUUGGUAGGGUAAAGGCCUACCAAGGCGACGAUCAGUAGCUGGUCUGAGAGGACGACCAGCCACACUGGGACUGAGACACGGCCCAGACUCCUACGGGAGGCAGCAGUGGGGAAGUAUUGGACAAUGGGGGCGAACCCUGAUCCAGCAAUGCCGCGUGUGUGAAGAAGGCCUUAGGGUUGUAAAGCACUUUAGGCAGGGAAGAAGGUAUCUAGUUUAAGAGAUGAGAUAUUUGACGGUACCUGCAGAAUAAGCACCGGCUAACUCUGUGCCAGCCGCCGCC